CUACAUCCCACCUUACGAUGCUUUCGGUUUCACUAACCAAUAAAUUACCACCACGUCAGAGAAUAUUUCAGUCUUUAUAUCUUGCUCACGGAGCUCCCGUGUGACUGCGGUGCACUGGAUCCUUCCUCACCGAUUCAGGCGACUAUAAAACUCUCCGAGAUUUCCGAUCUUUCUCUCACACUCCGCGCCCUCGCUCUCAUUUUUCCCCCAAAUCGAUAGACUUUUGAAUUGGAAUUUCAUUUCUCUAUGAGGACCGGAAUGCGGUACCACGCCGGCGGUGAGGAUCACCGGCGGGAGUCUCAUUUUCUUGAAGCUUGUUUUCUCUGCCGGAGGCCGCUCGGAUUCAACCGAGACAUUUUCAUGUACAAAGGAAACACGCCGUUCUGUAGCAAAGAAUGCCGGCAGGAACAGAUUGAGAUCGAUGAAGCGCAGGAGAAGAGCUGGAGAAUCUCAUCGUCUUCGUCCUCGUCUUCGGCAGAUAAAACGACGACGACUAAUAAGAAGAAUGUACGAACGGAUACAGUUGCAGUGGCCUAAAGUUGGAUGAAGGAAUUUUGAGGAAAAAGGAAAAAAAAAAAAAUAGGGUGAUAACGGAACCCUAGAAAUUUUCGGGGAGAGUAAGAAAAGAUAAAAUCAAAUGAGAGAGGAAAAGAGAUGGAGAUUGAGAUUGAGAUUGAGUGGAAUGAAGAAUUGAGAAAAUAUUUGAAAUCUCUUCAUGUGAAGAAGAAGAUUGGAUUGGCAGACACACUAUACAUACAGAACUGUUCCUGUUCCGUUCUGCUUCAAUUCAAUCUUCCUACUUUUUCUUUUUUUCUUUUUGGUUUGUGGAGAUAUUCAUAUUACUGUGUUUACUAAAUUCUGUGGAAAAGAAAAUGAUGAUCUGCCAUGGAAAUUCUGUUGAAAUUAUUACGAAUUAUAGGAUUUGGGAUAAUUUUUGACCGAAUACAUCUUUCCAAAUUAUAAUCA